UACGUAGGGUGCGAGCGUUGUCCGGAAUUAUUGGGCGUAAAGGGCUCGUAGGCGGUUUGUCGCGUCGGGAGUGAAAACCCAGGGCUUAACUCUGGGCUUGCUUUCGAUACGGGCAGACUAGAGGUAUGCAGGGGAGAACGGAAUUCCUGGUGUAGCGGUGAAAUGCGCAGAUAUCAGGAGGAACACCGGUGGCGAAGGCGGUCUCCUGGGGCAUUCUUGACGCUGAGGCGCGAAAGCUGGGGGAGCAAACGGG
rnacentral:rRNA from 1 species